CAGUAGCCGCGGUAAUACGAAGGGUGCAAGCGUUACUCGGAAUUACUGGGCGUAAAGCGUGCGUAGGUGGUGGUUUAAGUCCGUUGUGAAAGCCCUGGGCUCAACCUGGGAAUUGCAGUGGAUACUGGGUCACUAGAGUGUGGUAGAGGAUAGUGGAAUUUCCGGUGUAGCAGUGAAAUGCGUAGAGAUCGGAAGGAACAUCUGUGGCGAAGGCGACUAUCUGGGCCAACACUGACACUGAGGCACGAAAGCGUGGGGAGCAAACAGGAUUAGAUACCCCAGUAGUCCCUGUCUCUUAUCC
rnacentral:rRNA from 1 species